rnacentral:rRNA from 1 species
UACAGAGGGUGCAAGCGUUAAUCGGAAUUACUGGGCGUAAAGCGCGCGUAGGUGGAUAAGUAAGUUGGAUGUGAAAUCCCCGGGCUCAACCUGGGAACUGCAUUCAAAACUGCUUUUCUAGAGUAUAGUAGAGGGGAGUGGAAUUUCCGGUGUAGCGGUGAAAUGCGUAGAUAUCGGAAGGAACACCAGUGGCGAAGGCGACUCCCUGGACUAAUACUGACACUGAGGUGCGAAAGCGUGGGGAGCAAACAGG